rnacentral:rRNA from 1 species
GGGAACUGAAACAUCUAAGUACCCGGAGGAAAGGACAUCAACCGAGACUCCGUUAGUAGUGGCGAGCGAACGCGGACUAGCCCAGUGGCAUAUCAGUAAGAACCGGAAGUGUCUGGAAAGGCACGCCAUAGUGGGUGAUAGCCCCGUACGGGUAGAAAUCUGAUAUGUCCUCGAGUAAGGCGGGACACGUGUAAUCCUGUCUGAACGUGGGGGGAC